rfam:Ictidomys tridecemlineatus contig087690, whole genome shotgun sequence.
GGGGAUGUAGCUUAGUGGUAAGAGUGCUUGCCUAGUAUUCAAGAAGCCCUGGGUUAAAUCCAAAGUACCCCCU